rnacentral:rRNA from 1 species
UACGUAGGGUGCGAGCGUUAAUCGGAAUUACUGGGCGUAAAGCGUGCGCAGGCGGCUUCGCAAGUCAGGCGUGAAAUCCCCGGGCUUAACCUGGGAAUGGCGUCUGAAACUACGGAGCUGGAGUGUGGCAGAGGGAGGUAGAAUUCCACGUGUAGCGGUGAAAUGCGUAGAUAUGUGGAGGAAUACCGGUGGCGAAGGCGGGUCUCUGGGCCGUUACUGACGCUGAGGAGCGAAAAGCGUGGGGAGCGAACAGG